CCGCAGUCCGCCGCCCGGGCGCGGAAAGCUGCUUCCUACUCCUGCUGCCGAGCCGGCCGGGCUACUGAGCAUGCCCGGCACGGCGACAGCUGCCAAACUAAAGGACUUUAAGCUGCGAUGGUAAACUACCCAAGGACAGCAGAGAAGAGGGAAUACAUGCUCCCAGACAGGAUGGGCAAGGAGCCCUAAGCAUUUUGUUCCAGUUAAUGUAAACAGUCAUUACAAACAAACAAACAAACAAACCCCCUUCCUUCAAAUACCAGGGCCUCUCUUGGAAGCUAACACACAAAAGGAGCCACUGGUCCCCUGCAAGGACACUUUGUCCAC